rnacentral:rRNA from 1 species
UACGUAGGGGGCAAGCGUUGUCCGGAAUCAUUGGGCGUAAAGCGCGUGUAGGCGGUCCGGUAAGUCGGCUGUGAAAGUCCAGGGCUCAACCCUGGGAUGCCGGUCGAUACUGCCGGACUAGAGUUCGGAAGAGGCGAGUGGAAUUCCCGGUGUAGCGGUGAAAUGCGCAGAUAUCGGGAGGAACACCAAUGGCGAAGGCAGCUCGCUGGGACGUUACUGACACUGAGACGCGAAAGCGUGGGGAGCAAACAGG